rnacentral:rRNA from 1 species
AUUGAACGCUGGCGGCAGGCCUAACACAUGCAAGUCGAGCGGUAGAGAGGUGCUUGCAUCUCUUGAGAGCGGCGGACGGGUGAGUAAUGCCUAGGAAUCUGCCUAGUGGUGGGGGAUAACGUUCGGAAACGGACGCUAAUACCGCAUACGUCCUACGGGAGAAAGCGGGGGAUCUUCGGACCUCGCGCCAUUAGAUGAGCCUAGGUCGGAUUAGCUAGUUGGUGAGGUAAUGGCUCACCAAGGCGACGAUCCGUAACUGGUCUGAGAGGAUGAUCAGUCACACUGGAACUGAGACACGGUCCAGACUCCUACGGGAGGCAGCAGUGGGGAAUAUUGGACAAUGGGCGCAAGCCUGAUCCAGCAAUGCCGCGUGCAGGAUGAAGGCCUU